UUUCCAAUAUUGAAAGGGACAUAUUUGUACUUGAUCAUAUGUAGGAUUUGGCGUUUCAUUGUAAGGAAACAUAGAACAAUCCAGUAACAUAACAAUAUCGGCCAGAAAACAGGUACAUCCAAUACAGAGAAGAAGGUCAAAAGAAAAGCCACAACAAAAGCUUUUGUGAUGGCAUACCAGAACUUGAACUCAGGUAGGCGGCGAAUGAAAGGUUUGAAUUCAUCAGAACCUUUGGUAGGCAAGGAAGCUCCAUCCAAAGCUUCAAGCUCAGGAUCAUCCUUGGGCGA
rnacentral:misc_RNA from 1 species